CCCCCGCAGUGUCAGAAUGGGCUGCAUGGUUCCAUGAGGCCCCAGUGUCACAAUGGUCCCUUGGAUCCAUCAAGCCCCACCCAGGGUCCAGGGUCACCAUGGUCCCCAUGUCACAUAAGGCUCUGCAGUGUCACAAGGGCCCCUUGGUUCUGUGAAGCCCACAGGGUCAGUUUUGCCAGUGGGCAGGAUCAGCACCAAAGACACAGAUACCAACUGAAGGAAUUGUGUAAUUUAUAUAAGAUCCACACAGCAGCUGGGGAAGCUGUCACAGCCAAGGGCUGCAGAGCCACUCCUGGACACUGGGAAUUCCUGCAGGUGCCUCCAGCUACAGGCACACCUGGCAGAACACAAUCAAUGACUGGAGUGACUUUACUGCAAGAGGACCUGCAAGACUUUUUGACUUUCAGCAGCUGCCUCUUUCUGCAGAGGAUUUUUACAGCCUGCCAGCCACUCAGGUCUUCUUGUCUUGGCUUCAUGUGGCACAGAAGGCACUGGAAAAGGAUUCUUCUCAUGCCCUGCAGAUCCCUGAAAAACCACCGAGAGAAAGCUGCUCAGAGAGAGAUGCCUAAAGCAAUUGCAAAGUCAGGCUUUCCUAAAUUCCCAGAGAAAAUGUUCAUUUCUCCCACGCAUACUCUAUGCACUGAGUCUCCCCCUUUGGCCUUCUUUCCCAGCAAUCCCUCCAGUAACUGAAAUGCCACCUUGGCUUCUCACCUGGCAGCUGACAGUGCUUUGCACCAUUCAACUUCUCCCAAGCACAGAGAAAUUCAGCAGCAGAUUUCCUUGCUCAAUAGCUGGGAGUGCAGUGAGGGCUGGAAGCAGGAAAAUGAUCAGGAAAAAGCAAGCAGUUAGAAGGCAGCUAAUGCACUGUGCACAGUCUGGCCUAAGACAGAACACUGACACAUGCUCCCUCACCCCCAAAUAUCAUAGACCCCAUGUCCCAAGCCAUCAUUAAACUGCCAAAUUUUUUAUAAAAAGCAAGUAAAUUCUAAUUUUUUAACCCAUAAAUGCAGCAAUUUCCUCCAAAUUAUAUACAACCUAAGGCCCAGAUUACAGUCCUUUUCUUUUUAUAAACACACUCCUUUUUAUACACACACUCCUUUUAGUUGCAGUUGCCUACAGUCAGAAAUGGUCACUUAUCUGAGAGGAUGUUUCUGCAGUGCAUCACACAGCAUGCCUGGGUUGAAGGAAUACUCCCAGCAGCCCUCCUGGAUACCAAUGGUGAUGGCCUGGGAUUGCUCCUCGGGGUCUUCCUCCACUUUCCUGUGCUUGGCAAAGAAUCCAUCCUGCUUCCUGACAGGGUUAUCCACGGCAGGCAGCUCCAGGUUGUCAGUCACAGCUCUGGGUCUCUUUUGCAUGGUGUCGUGGUUUGGCCCAGAAAUGUGUUUUUGGAAAGGUCUAAGUCGGGCCAAUCAGUGGCCAAAUUCAAAAUUGGCAUGUGAUAUGGCCACUGAGGUUUGGAUACGCCUCUGAGAACACACGGGGGUUAAAAGCAGGAGAUUCCCAGAGAACUUCCUCUUUGGGAAUCCGGCGUUGGUGAGUAGAGUCUGACCUCUCCCCUGCCCAGCUGCGUCUGGGUGGGGGAGGGGGAGGCCAUGAUGGGGAGGAGGCCGGGAGCCCCAAAAGGUGCAGAGGUGGAGGAGAACAUGCAGGGGUUGAUGAGAAUUGAGAUGUCUGGGCAGCCCCCCCGGAGAGAGAGACAGAAGUUGUGCUGGCAACUCAGCCGGCCAGAAGCGGGGGAUGCGUCGAGAGAAGGUGCCCGGCAGAUGUGGGAGUCCUUGGGCAGGCAGA